AGGUGGAGUAUCCAAACUGGGAGGACUCUCAGGGAUCGUCCACCCACGCCGUACCGAUGGAGACAGGAGGCCCUGUGUGGGGCAGGGAGCUCGCACAGAGCAGGAAUUCGGGCCCUGAAUCCUAGAGGGGGCUCUGCCAAUGCCCGGGCCCGGGAGGCACGCCUCACGUGUGUCCGAACCCAAAGUAACCUGGUCCUGCUGCCAUCUUGUGACCUAGUGGCUGCACGUGGAUGGCUGGAUGUGGAGCAUCGCUCGGCCCUGCUCCCUAGUUCCUGCGUUUCCAAUCAAAUCAUCUCAAGUCAAUAAUCUUCCUUGGCAACGUUCUCGAACAGACAUGAAACGUUCUGCCGAGCGGACCCGUCUUCGCUUGUGCUACCCCUGUCCUCUGGCGGGACAUCGAGGUGACUUCCAGUUUCUCUCUGUCAUAAAAAAGGCCGUGACGAACAUCCUCAGCACCCCAAGCUUGGGUCACAUCUCCAAAGAUGCCUGCAGGGGGCGUUCCCAGAAGUGGGGGGUGAGCGGGCCAAAGGUUGUGAACCUCCUUUAAGCAACAAAAACAUCCUGCUAAAUGUCCUUUCAGAAAAAUGGCACUGAGUCCUGCCAGCAGUAGAGGAAAUUCUUCAUCUCACUUCCCCCCACCCCCACCCCCCCAGCAU
rnacentral:lncRNA from 1 species